rnacentral:lncRNA from 1 species
AGCCAAUCCACUGCAGUGAGGUAACCUGAAGUGUGUUGUAUGUUCCAGGGCAGAAGCCCUCAGGUCUGCCAAGAUGGGCACCCUCCAGCCGCUGCCCCGUGUGGCCACCACGCAGGAGACGGAGAAGCUGCACCUGGAGAACCCCUGACAAGGUCCUGGACACGCAUCUGUCCAGGAUUCAGACGUACAAAAUGGAUUCAGACGUACAAAAGCCAUCUCUUUCUAUUUGGCGAGGAGGAUGAGGGGCUAGGGGGCUGGAGGUCUGGCAGGGCUCCCCUGCCAUCAAGGCAACAGGACCAAGGGAGCCGCCACACCUGCUGGCUGGCUUCCACCAAGAGCUGAGGCAGAAGACGACCCCACCUCCACUUUUCUUUUGGCAUCACAAAGACCUGGUGACCCGGCUCCCUGACCCACCUUCCUGCCCCAAGCCAUACAAGGCAGCUCCCAGACUCCCAGACAGCCGGGGUGGGCUGGUAGAUUUGGCCUUUCUGGGGCCCUCUGCCAGGUGGGGCACUCAGAACCCCCAAAGGUGGGAGGGAUUGUCAGGGAGAGGCAGUGCCCAUCCUCCUGGGCAGAGGUGGGCAAGGGCGGGCAUGCUACCCUCUUAGACAUCAAUGUGUUCACCAGCCUGGAAGCCCCCUGAACUUUGUACAAGAGUUUUUUUUAUCAAGAUUUUAUUAUGUAGACAUGGCUAAGUCACUGGCAUUGGUGAUUAAUCAACCUCCAGCUCCUCUACCCCUGUUGGAGGCGCAAGAGGUAGGGCUGAAGUUCCAAUCAUCUAAUCAAGUGGCUGGUUCUUCUGGCAACCAGCCUCCAUCUUAAAGCUAUGCAAGGGGCCCACCUAGAGUCACCUCAUUAGCAUAAUGUCAGGUAUGAUCUGAAGAGGCUCAUUAUGGUAAUGAUAGACAUUCUUAGCACUCAGGAAAUUCCAAGGGUUUUAGGAGUUCUGUGCUGGGAACAAGGAACAAAGGCUGUGUGUGUGUGUAUAUGUAUAUGUAUAUGUAUAUGUAUAUGUAUAUGUAUAUGUAUAUGUAUGUAUAUGUAUAUACCUAUAUAGGUAUUUUUUAAAAGAUUUUUAAACUAGGGGCAGCCCGGAUGGCUCAGUGGUUUAGCACCGCCUUCAACCCAGGGCCUGAUCCGGGAGACCUGCGAUCGAGUCCCAUGUUGGGUUCCCUGCAUGGAGCCUGCUUCUCCCUCUGCCUGUGUCUCUGCCUCUCUCUCUCUCUCUUUCGUGAAUAAAUAAAUAAAAUCUUUAAAAAAAAAAAAACGA